GUGUACGUACCCCCGGGUAACCCGGAGUGGCUUGCAUGACUGGGAGCUCCAUUAUCCACCUCUAACCAGAGGGACAGGUGCCGCCAUCUCAAGGCAAACAUUCAGGGAACAAUAUCACUCAACAAAAGACCAGACCGCAAAUGGCUGCUUACCUGACAAACUUGUGAAUUCUACGAUUCUAUGUAACUGAACUUUGACAACAAAUAUUCUGUUCUCAUUC